GUUCAUGGCUCAGGGUGAACGCUAGCUACAGGCUUAACACAUGCAAGUCGAGGGGCAGCAUGGUCUUAGCUUGCUAAGACUGAUGGCGACCGGCGCACGGGUGAGUAACACGUAUCCAACCUGCCGUCUACUCUUGGACAGCCUUCUGAAAGGAAGAUUAAUACAAGAUGGCAUCAUGAGUCCGCAUGUUCAUAUGAUUAAAGGUAUUCCGGUAGACGAUGGGG
rnacentral:rRNA from 1 species